rnacentral:sRNA from 1 species
UCAAUGUCUGUGUUGCUGAUGUUUAUAAU